rnacentral:rRNA from 1 species
GGAUAUUGCGACAAUGGGCGAAAGCCUGACGCAGCAACGCCGCGUGCGGGAGGACGGCCUUCGGGUUGUAAACCGCUUUUCGAGGGGAAGAGGAAGGACGGUACCCUCGGAAUAAGUCCCGGCUAACUACGUGCCCGCAGCCGCGGUAAAACGUAGGAGGCGAGCGUUAUCCGGAUUUCCUGGGUGUAAUGCGCGUGCAGGCGGCCGGGCAAGUCGUGCGUGAGAGCGCCCGGCUCAACCGGGCGAGGUCGUGCGAAACUGCGGGGCUUGAGGCAGGUAGAGGCGUGUGGAAUUCCGGGUGUAGUGGUGAAAUGCGUAGAGAUCCGGAGGAACACCAGUGGCGAAGGCGGCACGCUGGGCCUGGCCUGACGCUCAGACGCGAAAGCAUGGGGAGCGAACGGG